ACUUUCAACAAUGGAUCUCUUGGCUCUCGCAUCAAUAAAAAACGCACCGAAAUGCAAUAAUUAAUAUGAAUUGCAAAAUUCCGUGAAUCAUCAAAUUUUUGAACGCAAAUUGCACUUCUUGGUAUUCCGAGGAGUACACAUGCUUGAGGGUCAGUU
rnacentral:rRNA from 1 species